rnacentral:rRNA from 1 species
UACGGAGGGUGCAAGCGUUAUCCGGAUUCACUGGGUUUAAAGGGUGCGUAGGCGGGCAGGUAAGUCAGUGGUGAAAUCUCAGAGCUUAACUCUGAAACUGCCAUUGAUACUAUCUGUCUUGAAUUCUCUGGAGGUGAGCGGAAUAUGUCAUGUAGCGGUGAAAUGCUUAGAUAUGACAUAGAACACCAAUUGCGUAGGCAGCUCACUACGGAGUCAUUGACGCUGAGGCACGAAAGCGUGAGGAUCAAACAGG